rnacentral:rRNA from 1 species
GUGCCAGCCGCCGCGGUAAUACGUAGGUGGCAAGCGUUAUCCGGAAUUAUUGGGCGUAAAGCGCGCGUAGGCAGUUUUUUAAGUCUGAUGUGAAAGCCCACGGCUCAACCGUGGAGGGUCAUUGGAAACUGGAAAACUUGAGUGCAGAAGAGGAAAGUGGAAUUCCAUGUGUAGCGGUGAAAUGCGCAGAGAUAUGGAGGAACACCAGUGGCGAAGGCGACUUUCUGGUCUGUAACUGACGCUGAUGUGCGAAAGCGUGGGGAUCAAACAGGAUUAGAU